GAGCCCACCUGGAUCAUCAUGGAAUUGUAUCCCUAUGGGGAGCUGGGCCACUACCUGGAGCGGAACAAGAACUCCCUGAAGGUGCUCACCCUCGUGCUGUACUCACUGCAGAUAUGCAAAGCCAUGGCCUACCUGGAGAGCAUCAACUGCGUGCACAGGUAGGGGUGGAGGGAGUGGCCAGCGGUAUGGAAGCCAGGCCUUCACCAGAUCCUCAAGGCCUCUGGGUAGAAGCAGGGCUUGUGGGUGACACAGAGCAGUGUUGGAAUCCCA
rnacentral:lncRNA from 10 species